UAAUCAAAAUCGGAGCGAUGCUUUUUGGGUGACGCACCGGAGUUUGGGUCAUCUUAACUCUUUUUUUUAAGAGACCUAAAAUUAACAUUCUUUUUUGCUCACUUUGAGACGUACAUAAUUUUUUUUUAUUCGUCUACCCUGGUGGCAAAAAUUUUAUUAGAUCGUGAAUCACGUAUAGUGGUCUCGCGUCUAUAAUUAUCAUG
rnacentral:misc_RNA from 1 species